UUGAGAAAUUGUUAAUUGGUAAGAAGCUAUUUUUGUUUCUUUUUCAACAUUUUAAUUGAAAACAGUAAGGUACUUAAUCAAAAUCAAAUCAAAUCAUACUUUAUUAUCAAACUUUACAUGUGUCGAAUACAACAAGUAAAGGGUCCGGUGGUGAUUUUUAUGAAUUGUUCAGCAGUCUUAUAGCUUGGGGGUAGAAGCUGUUUAGGAGCCUUUUGGUCCGCUCGCCGUGCGGUAGCAGAGAGAACAGUCUAUGACUAGGGUUUCCUUGUAAGCAGGAAUUCUCUGAAGGCAGCCCGCCCUUUGGACACUUUCUCUCCGCCUUCUUUCAUGCAAUCACGGGGAUCUGGGCCUGUUCCCGAGAAAGCAGUAUAUUGUUCGCGUCAGGCUCGUCAGACUCGUUAAAGGAAAAAAAGGAUUCUGCCAGUCCGUGAGGCCGGGCCAGACUUCCAAAUCUCUGCCAGAUGUUAGUUGUUGCUAGGCAGCAGAGUCGUCCAAAGUGAUUGGAUCAAGCUGAAGGGGAAGGCGGGUGACUCAACAAGCCACCUCUUCAACUGCUUCCUGCAGGGGAAAGCCUGGACAGGAUGUGCCUGAGAUCUACCACCUGCUUUUUUCCAACCCUGCACUUACUCAAAAUGAUGAAACAAAUCAAUGAAUCAUCAAUCCCUUGAUUAGAUGAAACAGGUGUGUUAGUACUGGGUUGGAACAACAAAGGGACAAGAUUGGAGAAGACUGUCUUGGAAGGAUGCAGGGACACAGGAUCUACAAAAAACACAGUGGAGGCAAAGCUGGUUGUAAUGAUGUCAAUUCAAACAGUUUUGUCCUUUGUGUCAACAAUUGUUUUGACUAGGGCAGGGACAGUCCAUCAGGGAAUAGCGUAAAAGGCAAAUAUUUUAAAUUUUCUAUCAGGAGUCAAAGUUAAUCAUUUUUAUUUUUCUCUUAAUGGGAAAUCCUUUAUUUUAGACCCCGUUGACAGCAGUUUGACACUUGUAAGAGAAUGGUAAAAUAAUGUGCGAUCCGCUCGCUGCACCAUAUGACUUUGGAAUGCAUUCUGUGUUUCACUGAUGUUUAAAUCUUUCACGCCCUUCUUCUCCCUAUCAUGUGAAUUGAAUCUUAUUGAAGAGAUCAGGUACAUUUAAUGUAUCCAUGAUGCAUAGGGACCGAAGGGAAAGGAACACAGCCACUACCGAAACACAGCCACUACCUUGUUCUCUGAACACGGUGUAUGAACUGAGCAAACUGAAGUGAAGAGGAAACUCAGCAACUCUUGGCAGUGGAAUUUAACUCAAAUGCUUCUUUAUUUUUAAGACUAACGCGUUUCAUCAGGGUUUUUUUUUAUUCAGAGACCAUGCACAACACGCAGCACAAGCACCAUGGCCAACAUGAAGCACCAACACAUUGCAUCAGAUUUACUUUGAUCAUUUCCUUCUGUGGUUCCAAGCAUAUAAAAUAUACCACGCAUUCUGUUAGACCAGAACAAUAAACACAAACACCGUGGAUCUUCAGAACUAGGUUUGGGUUCUGGGCUUACAGUCAUGUUUCAUUGUCUGAGCUAAGCCAAUCAACAUUCAUUCUGUGAGAUGGAGAAGCCAUGGCAACUGCAAUCUCGCUCUACAGCACGUCACUGUGCUGCCAUAUUGCUUAUAGGCUACCCAUUCAUCUUCCAGAAUGAGUUUCAUCACAUAACAAACAACGUCUCACACUGCAGGCUCAUUUGGAUGAGUGAAAUGGAAACGUUUGUUCUACAGAUGUAGGAUCUUAAUUUGAUCACAACUAUUACUGACAAUUUUCCUGCAUAGUUUAAAAAGGCUUCUAAAGGUUGUAAUUUACACUUUAUAAUAUCAGACUUGAUUUUCCCUAACAAAAAUGUAUCAACCAAUAAAAAAAAUUCAUUAAUUAUAAUCCACAUAAUAAUUCACAUUUCCUGUUUCUGCAGGAUUAUUUUCCUGCUGUAGCAAACUGGCUCAAAUUAAGACCCUACAUCUGUACCGUACAAUACAGGCCACAUCUCUGUGUGUAUGGAUCAUUACUCUCUCCCUCCCUGGUCAUUUGAUAGGCAAGACACAAAUUAAAACGUCCCGCUGUGUGUGUGUGUGUGUGUGUGUGUGUGUGUGUGUGUGUGUGUGUGUGUGUGUGUGUGUGUGUGUGUGUUUGUGUGAUGCAUUGGGACAUAGGCCACAGUCCAGUCCAACAACUCCCCAUUCCCUAUUGACAGUGUGUUGAUAAAGACGAGAACAAAAAACCUGCUAUUACAUUUAGCUCCUCCCAACUAACGGGUUUGUUUUGUUGAAAGAAGAGACAAAGUAUACACUGUUGUAAGCUGGAAUUGUUUCCAUAAUAAAAAACAGCUCUGCUAUGGCAUUAACUUUAAGAUAAAUUGUAAACACAGUGUUCAAUUUAGAUUUGGAUUGCCUGUUUGUAAAAGUUGUUACAAUGUAGUUGUUUGUUUUGCUAUACUUCUCUUUGCCCCUUUAAUGUCAUUGCAGGCAAUUCUUUAGGUAUUCGAUGAGUAUGAUGACAUCGACAAUGUUGUUGAACUAGAUAAACAGCUCUUGUGAGGUUAAAUUGGUAUAUAAAUUGCUUUUCAGUGGUAGAGCU